UGGGGAAUAUUGGACAAUGGAGGAAACUCUGAUCCAGCAAUUCUGUGUGUGUGAAGAAGGUUUUAGGACUGUAAAACACUUUUAGUAGGGAAGAAAAAAAUGACGGUACCUACAGAAGAAGCAACGGCUAAAUACGUGCCAGCAGCCGCGGUAUACGUAUGUUGCGAGCGUUAUCCGGAAUUAUUGGGCUUAAAGGGCAUCUAGGCGGUAAGACAAGUUGAAGGUGAAAACCUGUGGCUCAACCAUAGGCUUGCCUACAAAACUGUUGAACUAGAGUACUGGAAAGGUGGGUGGAACUACACGAGUAGAGGUGAAAUUCGUAGAUAUGUGUAGGAAUGCCGAUGAUGAAGAUAACUCACUGGACAGAAACUGACGCUGAAGUGCGAAAGCUAGGGGAGCAAACAGG
rnacentral:rRNA from 1 species